GCCUCAGUGGUCUAGUAGUAUGAUUCGCCCUUCGGGAUUCGUCCCGUAAGCUUAUGAGGCCCUCAUAGAAAAUAGCUUACGUAAUCACUGGGUGAGGUCCUGGGUUCAAUUCCCAGCUGGGGCC
rnacentral:tRNA from 1 species